UACGAAGGGGGCUAGCGUUGUUCGGAAUCACUGGGCGUAAAGCGCACGUAGGCGGAUGUGCCAGUCAGGGGUGAAAUCCCGUAGCUCAACUUCGGAACUGCCUCUGAUACAGCACGUCUUGAGUCCGGAAGAGGUGGGUGGAAUUCCUAGUGUAGAGGUGAAAUUCGUAGAUAUUAGGAAGAACACCGGUGGCGAAGGCGGCCCACUGGUCCGGUACUGACGCUGAGGUGCGAAAGCGUGGGGAGCAAACAGG
rnacentral:rRNA from 1 species